rfam:Emmonsia pasteuriana TAMH 9510 supercont1.39, whole genome shotgun sequence.
CGAUCUUAUGAUGAAACAUUCCGGAUGUAAAUCACAGACCUGUUCUGAAAGCGCAAAACCCCGUGUGGAUUCUUUCCGUUGCCUUCCUUCUGAUCAAGAUC